AUGAGUAAAAGAAAAGCGAAUUAGUACAGAAUCAAACAAGUUUAGAGAGUCAGUGGGUGGUGGAAACUGAUCUUGUUUGUUCUCGAAUCCAUCGUUUAAGUUUAAAUAAUGAAGCAUAAAGCCUAAAUUAUUUCGGCGUGGACCGUUAUCCCUGAGAGCGCAAAAAGAUAACUGCGGUGUCUUUUUGAAUCAGGGUGGUACCGCGAGAAGCAGUCCUUUCGUCCCUUAC
rnacentral:ncRNA from 1 species